AGCGCUUCUCGGCCUUUUGGCUAAGAUCAAGUGUAGUAUCUGUUCUUAUCAGUUUAAUAUCUGAUGCGUCCUCUAUCCGAGGACAAAAAACAAACAAACAAACAAAAAGAAUGAGAAGAAAAAAGUCUCGAGGAUUUUCUGUUUUACCUUUCUGCAGUAUAUUUCUAGGUUUUG
ensembl:snRNA U2 U2 spliceosomal RNA